GAUCAUGGCUCAGGAUAAACGCUGGCGGCGCACAUAAGACAUGCAAGUCGAACGGAAGUCGUUGUAGUGAUAUAGACAUGGACUGAGAACUUGUUCAAAGAAAGUGAAAGUUGACUUACAACAAUGGCUUUAGUGGCGGACUGGUGAGUAACACGUAAGCAACCUGCCUAUCAGAGGGGAACAACAGUUAGAAAUGACUGCUAAUACCGCAUAUGCCUAAGUAUCACA
rnacentral:rRNA from 1 species